AAGUCGUAACAAGGUUUCCGUAGGUGAACCUGCGGAAGGAUCAUUAAUGAUGUUUAUUUUUCUAUGUUGGGAAAUUGUCUGCUGUUGUGGGGAUAUUUUUGUCCCCGCGCUAGUCAACGUGAUCUUUAUUCUAGUCUGACUUUUAUAUUUAUAAUAAAAGACAACUUUUAGCAACGGAUCUCUUGGCUCUC
rnacentral:misc_RNA from 1 species